UGGGGAAUAUUGGACAAUGGGCGAAAGCCUGAUCCAGCCAUGCCGCGUGUGUGAAGAAGGUCUUCGGAUUGUAAAGCACUUUAAGUUGGGAGGAAGGGCAUUAACCUAAUACGUUAGUGUUUUGACGUUACCGACAGAAUAAGCACCGGCUAACUCUGUGCCAGCAGCCGCGGUAAUACAGAGGGUGCAAGCGUUAAUCGGAAUUACUGGGCGUAAAGCGCGCGUAGGUGGUUUGUUAAGUUGGAUGUGAAAUCCCCGGGCUCAACCUGGAAACUGCAUUCAAAACUGACUGACUAGAGUAUGGUAGAGGGUGGUGGAAUUUCCUGUGUAGCGGUGAAAUGCGUAGAUAUAGGAAGGAACACCAGUGGCGAAGGCGACCACCUGGACUAAUACUGACACUGAGGUGCGAAAGCGUGGGGAGCAAACA
rnacentral:rRNA from 1 species